GAUGAAGAACGCAGCGAAAUGCGGUAAGUAAUGUGAAUUGCAGAAUUCAGUGAAUCAUCGAAUCUUUGAACGCACAUUGCGCCCGCCAGUAUUCUGGCGGGCAUGCCUGUCUGAGCGUCAUUUCAACCCUCAUGCCCCUAGGGCGUGGUGUUGGGGAUCGGCCAAAGCCCGUGAGGGACGGCCGGCCCCUAAAUCUAGUGGCGGACCCGUCGUGGCCUCCUCUGCGAAGUAGUGAUAUUCCGCAUCGGAGAGCGAUGAGCCCCUGCCGUUAAACCCCCAACUUUCCAAGGUUGACCUCAGAUCAGGUAGGAAUACCCGCUGAACUUAAGCAUAUCAAUAAGCGGAGGA
rnacentral:misc_RNA from 1 species